UACGUAGGGGGCUAGCGUUGUCCGGAUUUAUUGGGCGUAAAGCGCGUGUAGGCGGUCCGGUAAGUCCGCUGUGAAAGUCGAGGGCUCAACCCUCGAAUGCCGGUGGAUACUGUCGGGCUUGAGUACGGGAGAGGCGAGCGGAAUUCCUGGUGUAGCGGUGAAAUGCGCAGAUAUCAGGAGGAACACCGAUUGCGAAGGCAGCUCGCUGGAACGUUACUGACGCUGAGACGCGAAAGCGUGGGGAGCAAACAGG
rnacentral:rRNA from 1 species